GUCAAGCUUCAUUUUAAAUUACUUUCUAAUUUUUAAAACUGCUCCUUUUUUGAACGCUAAGAGUAGACAUACAGUAUUUAUACAGUGAACUAUCGAUAUAAUUUUUUGCAGAGAUUACAAGAAUAUCCAAACAGCUAAUUAUCACACAAUAUCAGUAAAUCUCGGUAUUCAGCGGCACUACCUUUAAGGUGACACUCACACUUUAAUUGUGACUUAAAGUCAAGCUUCAUUUUAAAAUACUUUCUAAUUUUUAAAACUGUUCUUUUUUUGAACGCUAAGAGUAGACAUACAGUAUUUAUGCAGUGGACCAUCGAUAUAAUAUUUUGCAGAAAUUACAAGAAUAUCCAAACAGUUAAUUAUCACACAAUAUCAAUAAGUCUCGGUAUUCAGCUGCGCUACCUUUAAGGUAGCAUUCACACUGCAGGUAUAUUAGCAUUUGACUGAAUACAAGUUUGCAGCAAACAUGUUGCAACUUCUAUAUAUAUUUUUAGAUUUGAGUUCAAUACAUGUUUAAUAUAUGUAAUCAUGGCAGUCGCGUUUCAUUAUGAUGCUAAUGAAAUAUCACAAUAUUUCGUACGAUACGUACAAAAGAGUUUGUCAAAGUUUUUUGCGGUAAGUAUAGGAAUACUUUCGCCACCAACUGUAGACGUUAGCUGCAAUCACAAAUUUACCUACUUCAUAAACACUAUGUUGCGAAACGUUACAGAAAUCAGUGGCACGUAGAUGUCGUAAAAUGAUAUUAGGUGCAGCGUCUCACUUUACAGCUCCUUCGAUCGUUUUCGACCGGUGGAUUAACGAUUUCGAAAAGCGAACGCGAGACGUAGGCCACACGUGCUCGAUAUUUGCAUCAACUACAUCGAUUUACCAUACUUGCCUUAAAAAUUCACCACGUAUGAACUUCUAAAGGAACAUCGAACAAUUUUGAAUAACUUGAGACUUCGAGUUCGUUCUAUUUAUAAUCUAUAAAACAGAAGAGUCGUUUUGAAAAAUUCGACGAAUAUUUUGAGAAUGACGUCUAUGAAUAAUCUUCGGUGUGUAGAAGAAAGCGAGAGUGUUAUUUUUGUGAGAGAAAUGUCAGAGUAAUGUAGUGUAAAAAUAAAAGAACAGGUCGUCGAUAGAAACGAUCAACGGGAAUAAUAGUGCACCAUAAAUCGAGUACGCCGCAACGACCAAUGGGAAAUGAUCAUGCAAUUGCCAGGAGACUGAAGUGCAUGUGCAUCACGCGGUGAUGCAUUGAGAGCGAGGUCGUUGAAGUGUCGAUCAACAGACACGAAACUGGCUCAACGUGAGCCGUUUUAAUGGCUCACUUUUUAUCUUCUUGCCCGUUUGUUAGAAAAAUCGACAAUCGAAGAAGCGACAAUUGAAUCGUGCACGAUCUUGACAAAAUUUGAAAGGCUUGGUACAAAUAACAUGCAGCUACGUGCGUGAAACUGAACUUUCUAAAUGCGUAUGUUAAAUAUUUUUAAAAGAGACUGUAACAGUUUCAUUCCAACAAACGUUUAACUCUUAGAACGUGUAGAUUAUUUUAAAAGAAUCUAACAAAAAUGUUUUAUUUUAAAACCGAUAAUUCUUAUUCGCCUGAAAUAAUAAAACUAUUCUGUCAUUGGCAGAAUUUACUAGAUCGAAUAAUGUGGAAAUUACUUUGAUUAAACAUAUCAUGUUCUAGAGAACCUACAUGAAUUAGAAAGAUGAUAUAAAAAUUAUUUAUUAUGUGAAACUGUGAAGAUUCAGUUACACGUAUGUCAUUUUGUAAAAUCUAUGUUCUAUUAAAAUUUUGUUAGAAGAAAGCGACAUUUCAUAUGCAUUGACCUAAUACAUAUUACAUAUAGAACAAGAAGCUUCACAAGACAGUUCCAAACUUCCUCGUUUGCUCAUAAAAUUAAGUAAUAUGAUAAACCUAUUAUUACCCAUACUGAUCUCAAGAAAUAGCUGGAAUUCUAAAUACCGUGCCAACAAGAUCAACGACACGUCAUGAAUAACAAAUCCGCCUAUUCAUUUCCUUCGGGGAAGGAAACGCCUCGCAAUAGAAUAGGAAUGUAGUGUACAGCUACGUCCGAAGGAAAUCGAGAACGCUCUUCCAUCCGUUGCUCACGGCUCAAUGUCAGCUCGACAGAAAAUAGUUGAGGAAGCGAUAUAUAUAUAUUACGAUCGAUUUCCAAGCUGGAACGAAGAUAAUUCGAUUAGAAGCUGUGUCGACCGUGACCAGGUUUACCGGGUGUGUUAUAAUUGCCGAUCGCAUUAUCGAGUGUCAGAAAAUCUACGAAUGGCGGUGAUUCGCAUGUCUCGGCAGAGACGCUAACUCGAUUUGCUUCGAGGACGAAUCACAUUGUAAUUAUCAUGGAGAAAAGCUGAUUUGGAGCAGCUUUCUUUGCAUGCGGAGGAUAAUCGAAUUUCGUUCGGAUCGAGCCUCUUUGCAAUAGUGAGAAAGUGUUGUAGUGGCGAAUUCAUAAUAACAGUGGUAAUUGAAGAUAACAUACUUGUGAUACUUUGGGUGUCGCGAAAUUUCAAUUAAAUUGUUCAUUUCUUGUCUUGAUGGGAGAAGGGCGAUCGAAAAGUACCAAAUUUUUGUGCUCCUUCAGGCAACUAAAAUUUUUAUAUGGCGUCAUACUCCCACAGAUCUAAUUCUAUAUCUAUAGAUUCCUAUAUUCUUAUAUUCUAUAGAUUCAAUAGAUUCUAAGGUAUCAUUGGCAAAUGUGUGUGAUGGGAAAGUCGUAAAAAAUGUAGAUGUAGUGUCCCGAAAGGCGAAGUUUGGAGCUUCGUGACUUCGAACGAUGAUAAUGUAGUAUCGUGAACUAUUAUGAUUAAUUUAUUUACAAUGAGUGGAUUUUAUAGAUGUUGAUUAAACAGGAAACGAUGGCUGUUUAACGUGAACUAAUCACAAUAACGUACUAUAAUUUAGACAACUCAAUAAUUAAUUUGCAACUCUCGUCAUCACGAAUCCAACACUAUCUCGACAACGCAACUCGCACUUUCCGACUUCUCGAUUCGCACUUUCCGACUUCUCGAUUCGCACUUUCUGGCUUCCCCACUGACACUGACUGUUAAUUCGUCUUUCUCCCUUAGCAUCCCUUUAUCUUUUCUGAGGCCCACCACACACGUGUUCCGCAUCUGCUCUUCGCCAGGGUCACGUAGGCCUUUUCUACGAAACUAUUCAAUUGAAGGACCGACGACAUAUUGUUUAUGGUUCACCCAAUAUAUCUUAGGCCUUUCGUCCACGAUACUACAAUAUAGAUUUAAUAGAUUCUAAGGUAUCAUAAGAGUGCAAUCACUUUUGGCAAAUGCGAUGGGAAAGUCGUAAAAAAUGUAGAUGAACUGACAAUGUCUCGAAAGUCGAAGCUUGGAGCUUCGUGACUUCGAACGAUGAUAACUUGAAACUGAAGUGGAAUGCAGAAAUUCAAACGCUAUUUUGUAAAGGAUAGCCUUAAUAUAUAUAUAUCUAUAUAGUAUGUAAAAACAUAUUGCUCAGAUUGUGAAUUGAUAACGGUAACACGAAACAAAUUGAGAUGACAGCUUUUCAAUAAAACGAUCAUCAACGACAAAGUAUACAAUGUAUGGUGUCUUGUUAGAAUUUCAAUUAAUUUGGUACUUAUCGAUCAUCAUUCUCUCUUCGGCUCUGUCUUGAACAAAUGAACUGCAACGUUCACGAAACGUUGAAACGAAGCGCACUAAUCAGAACACGAUCAAAACCUAAGGACUCUCACAUAUGAUCAUCUGAUAGAUGUGCCCGUCUAAUCAUCCUGAAAGUUUAAAACCUAAAAUUAUUAAUUAAAGAUGUUUCUGUUCGAUAUAUCGUAUUGCGGUUAUGCUGUUCCACCAUUUCCCAAGCAAUUUCCAAAUAUUUCUACGUCCAUUGCCAUAAUAACUUCUCCAAGCUACCAAACCAAUCUCCAGACACCUUCAAUCUAAUUUUUCCCCCAGCAGUCGCCAUCGUUCCCCAAUUCUCUAAGGGUCGCAGUUGCCGAUCCACGAGGGUCCAGGACAUUCGUGAUCGAUUAAUUAAACGGCGAGGCAACGGCGUGUCACUCGAGGGUGCCUAAUUAAUCGAGCGGUCUCGAACAGCGCAGCUACACCAUCUUACCGAGUAAAGUACCGAGCAUUGUACCACAGGCAACGGUUAAGGCUAGCCAACAAACGAACGCUUCGUGUCGGUCCAGUCACGGUAGAUCCGUGUCAAAGCGUGACGUUGAUCGAUGGAUCAUCGAUCGAGUGACGCCCCGUUUCCAUUCAGCCUCGGCUGGAUACGAUCGACGGUGACGUAAUCGCGGUGAACGAGCGGUCAACGUUUCCCGAAUCGAGGAACGCGCGUUUCAAACGCGGUUGAUCUCGAUUUCGAUCGAACUGGCGUCAAGGAACGCCUUCGAUCGCAAUUUCAACGUCCGUUUGUCAUCCGGUGUCGAGUCAUGGUCACUGGAUAAUUACUCGUUAUUUCGGAUCUACGGUUCGGAAUCAAGGAUAUGGUAGUUGUAGGGGUUGGUUCACGUCAUUUUGCUCUAUCUGAAGGCUUUUGGAGGAGAAAGGAACGGAAUUUGAAUGAAACUAGUGGAAAGAAUCGUAGAAAGUCGUUACACUACGGUUUCAAAGUACGUAACUGGGUUUUUGGUAAUUUCUGUUUUUCUUUUUUUUUUUACAAAUCUUUAAUUUUCAUUAGGAAAUGAUAUCUAGUAUGGAUUGUAUUGAAUUUUGUUCUUUGUAAUUGAGAGGUUUCCUGGUGAAAGGAUUGCAAGGCAAAAUGGAAGUUUUAAUUUUAGUUUUUUAGUAUCAGGUGUGUUUGAAUUGAUGAAUGACAAAUGGCUCUUAAAGAACUUUGUUCUUCUCACAUUUUUAAAUAAUUAGAGGUCGGUUCGUAUCGUUGGCUUCAAAAAUCGUUGCAAUUAUAAUAUUUGUUAAAUUAUCUUUCGUAGAUCUCAUCUAGCAGCGGAAAAUUUGUUGCAGUGCAAGAUGAAUAAUUUGUCAGCCAUAAGUGUUAAAGUAUACUGGUUACAUUUAACUGGAAACGAUAUAACAUUUCAGAUUACACGGCAUGUUAUGUUGCGACUAAAAUGACUGAUUGAUAGUAGAUUAGUUAGAAAAUUUAAUGUAUAGUGAAUAUCAGUAGAUGUCCUAAUACUUAUGACUGGUAGUAUAUAUAUAUGGUGUCACAUGUUACAUAAGUUAGAUGCCAACUAAACGAACCAUAAUCGAGAAACAAAACCAAUUCUUAUAAAAUCUUCAUCUUAUUAAAUGGUCGAAUCACAUAAUUGACCCAAACCACUGAAAGUAUAUUUAUAAUUGAUUCGUACGAGAAUACAAAAGUAGGGUAGACACAAUACCAUGGAGUUUAGUCGCACUAACAACUUUGAUAGAUCAGAUUUAUAGAGGCGUUUCCAUCGUGAUAUGGUCAGGGUCAAAUUGUUCGAACAACCCAAUGCGUGUCAAUGCCUCGUCUGCAACAUUAUCACGAUCAAAUCAGUGUGUUGGAACUUCAAUCUCUUAUGGGACGCCUGCGUCCUAGUCGUGAGUCAGUCUAAUUCAAUAUCCACAUGGAACGUAGAUCAUUGAAUUCCAAGUUCCUAUAACUAACUAUACAUAUAUAUAUAAUACCUCGACAAUGUUUUGUUGCCUGAACAGGAUGAUAGUGGUUUUACAACCUUCUCUUCAAGGUCCUUCAUAGGCAAGACUUUGGCGUUCCACUUUUUUUCUCAUUCUGUCAGAUAUCUGCGUUAAUUUUUAUAAUAAUUUUUGCUUAUAAAAAUACGGGUAAAUAUGUGUACGUGCGAAAUGUCGAUGAAGAAAUUUGUAUAAUUUGCAUAGUAGUCAAACACAUGUUUGACGCAAGUAUAUCUCUUGGAAUCAAACACUCGCUUAUUAUAAUGACUGAUGAUAAUUUGUACAAUGAAUUGAAAAAAUGCCUCCUGUAAAGUAAACUAAAACAAAGUUCAAUUUUAUCUAUGGAUUAAACGAGACGAAAUUCGUUUUAUUUAUAAAUCGCACGAUACGUCGUACUUGAUUGUUAAAACAGCGUCCAAUAUUUUCUACAAUUGUAUGGAAUGUCGAAUUCAAUCGUGAAAAGGGAUAUUAUGGCGAUUUGAAUUCAAUAAAUUCACGUUGUACAACAUGUUUUCUGCAUCUUCGAUUGUAUUGAAGUACGUGGCCAUGUGAACCAAGUUGUAGAGAACGAAACAGGUAAAAAUUAGUUGGAAUCAAGUUUGGAGAAUACGCUAGGUGUGGCAAUACUUUUUAAGCAAGGUUAAAAAUUCCUUCCUUUCUAACAUUUUCGACAUGGGACCGUGGGUCGACGUGAAGCAAUUUUCGUUUCCUUUCCUGUACACGGUCUUCUGCAUUUCUACUCGUCGUUUAAAAUACCAAGCUGUUAUUUGAAACGAUCAGAACGCAAAUGGAUAAAUUUAAAUGCGCCGAAUAAAUUUUCACGUUUAAGAUAUUCCUGUCGAAAUCAAAGGAAGAUUAAUUCCUACGAUCGUUAUUUAACAUGCAAGGAUACUAUUAUUGUGAAAGGAAGAAAUCUUCUGGCAAAUAAUUUAUUGUUUUAUACUAAAUAAACUAACUAUGAGGUAUUAUAGAUUAAAAUAGAGAAUAGAAUGUUUAUUUGUAUUUCAGACUCACAGCUGUUACAAAGGAGAUUAUUGAUAUCCACUAAAUAUAUCGUACAUAUGUAUAAACGUUCAUACAUACAACCAAUACACGCACAUACACAUUGCGAUAUAUCAACAUAUUUUAUAACACCACAACGUAUUACGAAAUAAUAGUAUUUUAUAGAUAAAACAUUUUGCAAUGAAAAAUCAAAAUCUUUCAAUUUUUGUAUUUUCAUUGUUUUCUACGAACACUCUCCAAUUACUUUAAGCAUAAGAAAGAAAGUUUCGUCUUUGCAAAAUAUAUAGAAAAUUUCAAUAUUUCAUAUAUAUAGCUGUUUUUAAAACUCACAUAAAAGCCACUUUUAACGGAAAAGCGGUCAUUCCAAUAUUUACAGGAAAAUAUGUAUUUACUUCAGUAGAUAGAUCCACUAAAAGGGAAACCAUAAUCCCUAUAACGCGAUGGACGAGAUACGUUAGAGCGCGAUUAGAAACUUGACGUGUAUACGACGAGCGAGCUAGUUAAAAAUCUAAUCGAUAAACACCCGGUGACCUAACUUUCGCGCACUGAAUAAUUAACAGCGUUACAGAUACCAGUGUCUUUGAUUAAAAAAAUCUAAGUCAGCCGUGUAUAGCGUCACUGUGAACAACGCAGUCAAAGUAAAGGACACUUGGCGACACGAUUUAUCGUCAAACAAAAAGUUUAUAAUUAUAGAGUUAUAAUCACGCGUAUAAUAUUUCUGUACAAAAUCCGAUCUUAAUUCCUUCGAAGUCUAACGUUUGUUAAAGACUAACGCAAAGUUUAUAAUGACAAAAUUCCGUUUAUAAAAUAUAUAAAAAAAAAGAACGAAGAAA